rnacentral:rRNA from 1 species
ACGAACGCUGGCGGCGCGCCUCACACAUGCAAGUCGAACGAGCGAGAGAGAGCUUGCUUUCUCGAGCGAGUGGCGAACGGGUGAGUAACGCGUGAGGAACCUGCCUCAAAGAGGGGGACAACAGUUGGAAACGACUGCUAAUACCGCAUAAGCCCACGGUGCCGCAUGGCACAGAGGGAAAAGGAGCAAUCCGCUUUGAGAUGGCCUCGCGUCCGAUUAGCUAGUUGGUGAGGUAAUGGCCCACCAAGGCGACGAUCGGUAGCCGGACUGAGAGGUUGAACGGCCACAUUGGGACUGAGACACGGCCCAGACUCCUACGGGAGGCAGCAGUGGGGAAUAUUGCACAAUGGGGGAAACCCUGAUGCAGCGACGCCGCGUGGAGGAAGAAGGUCUUCGGAUUGUAAACUCCUGUUGUUGGGGAAGAUAAUGACGGUACCCAACAAGGAAGUGACGGCUAACUACGU